rnacentral:ncRNA from 1 species
GAAGUCAACGGGCUAACCUGCCUUGGCAGGAAGCAGUUGCCCAAGGUGAGGCUGGCGACUGUGACGAAGUCGUAACAAGGCAGCCGUACGGGAACGUGUGGCUGAAUCACCUCCUUU